rnacentral:rRNA from 1 species
AGUGAACGCUGGCGGUAGGCCUAACACAUGCAAGUCGAACGGCAGCACAGUAAGAGCUUGCUCUUACGGGUGGCGAGUGGCGGACGGGUGAGGAAUACAUCGGAAUCUACUUUUUCGUGGGGGAUAACGUAGGGAAACUUACGCUAAUACCGCAUACGACCUACGGGUGAAAGCAGGGGAUCUUCGGACCUUGCGCGAUUGAAUGAGCCGAUGUCGGAUUAGCUAGUUGGCGGGGUAAAGGCCCACCAAGGCGACGAUCCGUAGCUGGUCUGAGAAGAUGAUCAGCCACACUGGAACUGGGACACGGUCCAGACUCCUACGGGAGGCAACAGUGGGGAAUAUUGGACAAUGGGCGCAAGCCUGAUCCAGCCAUACCGCGUGGGUGAAGAAGGCCUUCGGGUUGUAAAGCCCUUUUGUUGGGAAAGAAAAGCAGCAGGUUAAUACCCCGCUGUUCUGACGGUACCCAAAGAAUAAGCACCGGCUAACUUCGUG